UGGAGGCCGGCACCACAUGUUGAGAAGAAGGAGCCGACCACGAUGACCCAAGGUGAAGGCCAGGCCAAGGUGCCUACCACCAGGUUCCUGCUGACGCCAUCACCGUACCUGCAGAGGCCAGGCUCAGACCAUGCUCCUGUGUGUUUGCAAGAAGAAGCCAGUCACAGAAGACCAGCAGUACACGAUGUCUCGACAACAUCUUGAAGAGCAAACCCACAGAGAGACCGCAGAUUAGUGUCUGUUAAAGGAGAGGGGAAGGGAGAGUGAUUACUAGUGAAGGUUUUCUUAGAGUAGUGAAGAUAUUCUGAACUGAUUCUGGCAAUGCUUACAUCCCUAUAAAUAUGCUAAAAACCAGUAACCUGUGAGCUUUCUUUUUCCUUUUUUCCUUCCUUCCUUCCUUCCUUCCUUUCCUUCCUUCCUUUCUUCUCCCUCUCUCUCUCUCUCUCUCUCUCUCUCUCUCUCUCUCUCUCUCUCUCUCUUUCUUUUUCACAGUAUCUCACUUUGUAGCCCUGGCAGACCUCAGGAACUCACAGAGAUGCUUUUGUCUCUGGUGGGGUUAAAGGCAAGUACCACCACUGCCCCUGAGUCGUGUGUUAAUGGAGAAAACAAACAUUGGUUUAUUUAGUGGGGAGGAUGACAAGCAGGUGUGUAGG